GGCAUAGUACACUUCAUAAAUCUAUGCGCGACUUCCGCUCGGUCUCUCAGUCUACCAGAAUCAUGGCGCGUGGAUCGGUGCAGAAAUGCUUGUCAGCUAAGAGCUGCAGCGUCUCCUGAUGAGCAAGUGCUGUAUCAUAUAGCAGACACUAUGGGAUAGAGCCACCAACGGGAGUCCUGCCUUGCCUUUGGGACUAAUGGCAGAGCCUCUUGAAGCUGCUCAGCGUGGGGCUGACUGUCAUGCUGCAGGCUGACUGAGGGUAAGUAGCAGAACCACUUGAACCGUGUUUUUUUUUUUUUUUUUUAAUAUGAAACGAUCAUGUUUCAUGCUGUGAUGACUCAA